rnacentral:lncRNA from 1 species
UGUGGGGGGGGAACAGGGAGGGUGAAAACCACCCAGCGGAGCCGCCGGGGCGGGGAGGAAACCUGCGCCAGGAGCCACGUGCUGGAGCCGGCGCUGGGUGGGUGGCUCGGGGAGCGGUGGGGGAGGGAGAGGCCCUUGCUGGGAAAGGCCCCAGGCCACGUUUCUGGGGGAGGAGAAGAACCGCGGGUGGACACCCUGGGCCCCAGGCCACCAGGGAACCUUCACCUCCGUCUGGAUAAUGCAGCCCAGAUCUCUUUGAUGGGAGCAGCUCUGGCCAAGCCCUGCCUGCUUGGGGUUGGACCUGAAGGAAUGCACUGGCCUAACCUAAUUGCCUUUUCGGACCUCGGUGGGACGGCGCUGGGGCUGGGACGGGAGGCUCUCCCACCUCACACCCUUCAAAGGGGAUGUACGUCCAAGGGUCGAAGAAUUGGAGAGCCUAAGUAAACCCAGGGUGGUUGGCUGUCCAGGGAAGGUGGGGGGAGUCGUAGGAAGAAGAAAGGAAGCAUGCAAAAGAAGGAAGAAGCAUUUAAGCACGUGAUAAGGACAUAACUGCAGUCCUUGGAAAGGUGGAUUUCCUACUCCCUGGGAAUUUAAGCCAAAAUCCCCUCAGCAGAGAAAAUGGAUUAGCUGCAGGAAGGAAUGAGACACGUUGAGGAGUCUGGGCUGCUUCCGAGUGGUAAGAGGCCAGAGGCUUUGGGUGCUGUGGUCUGCCACUGUCUGUUCAGCAACCCCCUUGAGAGGCUGCCUCCUGUGGUUCCAGGAUGCUCAAGAAGGGCUAGAGACCCUUUAAGAAGCACCCACCUGCAGUGGCCUAAGUGGCACCUAGAAACUUCUGUAAACCCUUACGGUUUUUCCUGCCUAAUCAAUCAGGAAGGGAGAGGAGCCAGGAAGUCAAGGCGGCAAACCUCCACAGCUUUGCCAUGCUGUUCUUUCAAAGCCACAGCUCAACAAGUGAUGCCAGCCCAGGGAGGGGGUGUCGUCUGUGUCUCCUCUUGCAGGCGGAAGCAGCACCACAGCCGGGAGAACAAAACCCGUUUGGAUCUGUCCAGAGCUGUUUGUCAGUACUGCCUUCCAGGACCACGUGAGCUGCCUCUUGCCCCACGUGACCCUCAUUCAAACUCAGGGAGAACGAGAGCUCCCGGGCCCCUUCUCCUCGGACAGCCUAAUCCCACGUGUGCAGAUGGGUGGCUCAUUUCUGCCAGCUCAAAAUAA